rnacentral:rRNA from 1 species
CGAACGCGCUGUGGCAAUUAUUGAGAAGCUUGCUUCAAUUUAAUUGCAAUGCAGCGAGUGGCGAACGGGUGAGUAACACGUGGGAAACCUACCUCUUAGCAGGGGAUAACAUUUGGAAACAGAUGCUAAUACCGUAUAACAACUUUUAUCGCAUGAUAAAAGUUUAAAAGAUGGUUCUGCUAUCACUAAGAGAUGGUCCCGCGGUGUAUUAGCUAGAUGGUGAGGUAAUGGCUCACCAUGGCGAUGAUACAUAGCCGAGUUGAGAGACUGAUCGGCCACAUUGGAACUGAGACACGGUCCAAACUCCUACGGGAGGCAGCAGUAGGGAAUCUUCCACAAUGGACGAAAGUCUGAUGGAGCAACGCCGCGUGUGUGAUGAAGGGUUUCGGCUCGUAAAACACUGUUAUAAGAGAAGAACGUCAGUGAGAGUAACUGCUCAUUGAGUGACGGUAUCUUAUCAGAAAGGGACGGCUAAAUACGUG